GCGGCGGCGGCUACUACGGGCGGCGGCGGCGGCGGCUACAACAACCAUACCCGACCCGACGUGGUCAUAUGCCAAAUCUGUGGCAAGGCCGGCCACGAUGCAUAUCGCUGCUGGAAGAGGUUCGAGAAGAACUUCAAGAGGAAGGAGAAGACAGCAAACUCCGCAGCCACUUCGUACGGAGUUGAUACGAACUGGUACAUCGACACUGCAGCAACCAACCACGUCACGAGUGAGCUAGACAAGCUCGCUACCCACGAACGCUACACCGGCAUAGAUCAAGUCCACACGGCGAGUGGGUCAGGGAACGGGGAAAAUUCUGCUGCGCGCACAGAGUAGAGGUGGCCUCUAUCCUCUACCUCAUGCACCAUCUGUUCGUGGGAAGCAUGUUCUUGGUGUGCAAAAAGCAUCGUCUUCUCGGUGGCAUGGACGUCUAGGGCAUCCAUCCUUUGUCAUAGUCGAUCAAGUAGUCAAAAAUAAUUGUCUUCCCGUGUCAAAUAAAAGGCAUGAGUCUGUUUGUGA